GUUUUCCAUCCGACACAGUUGCAUUGCGCGGUAGAUCACAGUGUUCCGGUGAAACCGCGUUUGUUGUAAUGGGUAACUUUUCGAGUAUACCCUUUUGGAUACGAUUGAGUUAUGUAUAUUUAUCAGCAUUCUGAUCUAUGGAAAACGUACACACGUGUUUCGGGUUGUCAAUGGUAUCGAACAAAAUAUCAAUAAAAAUCGGUAUAAUACAUAUAUCGAUAACAAAAAAAAAAAAAAAAAUAAAAAAUUGAAAUAAAGCCGAAAAUCACGUAUAUGAUGGCUAUACAGAUAAGUAUGAUCUGGUGUUUACAAAAAAGAAGCGAUAUAAGCAAGGCGCAAUGGACGCAAUACGCAAGGGUCGGCGUCAAAAACAAAACAAACGGGGUCGGCGGCAGACAACAGUUUUUGAUUGAAAUCUCGGUUUGUCACGUGCAGAGGUGGUUCCAGAAAUUGUUCAAGAGGGGUGACAUAGUCCUAUAUACAAAUAGGAUUUAUGUAUGAAGAACCAACCCUAUCAAUCUUUCUUUUUCCAUUCUUACCAUUAACUAAAUUAUAAGCAGUCUUAAAGAGAAAAAAACUUUUUUCCGUUGCUGUGACAGAAA